rnacentral:rRNA from 1 species
UCUACGGGUGGCUGCAGUGGGGAAUAUUGGACAAUGGGCGAAAGCCUGAUCCAGCCAUGCCGCGUGUGUGAAGAAGGCCUUCGGGUUGUAAAGCACUUUCAGUGGGGAAGAAAGCCUUGGGGCUAAUACCCUCGAGGAAGGACAUCACCCACAGAAGAAGCACCGGCUAACUCCGUGCCAGCAGCCGCGGUAAUACGGAGGGUGCGAGCGUUAAUCGGAAUUACUGGGCGUAAAGCGCGCGUAGGCGGUCUGAUAAGCCGGUUGUGAAAGCCCCGGGCUCAACCUGGGAACGGCAUCCGGAACUGUCAGGCUAGAGUGCAGGAGAGGACGGUAGAAUUCCCGGUGUAGCGGUGCAAUGCGUAGAGAUCGGGAGGAAUACCAGUCGCGAAGGAGGCCUUCUGACCUGACACGGACGCUGAGGUGCGACAGCGUGGGUAGCAAACAGGAUUAGAUACCCUAGUAGC